rnacentral:rRNA from 1 species
UGGGGAAUAUUGCACAAUGGGCGAAAGCCUGAUGCAGCAACGCCGCGUGAGCGAAGAAGGCCUUCGGGUCGUAAAGCUCUGUCCUAAGGGAAGAAUAAUGACGGUACCUUAGGAGGAAGCCCCGGCUAACUACGUGCCAGCAGCCGCGGUAAUACGUAGGGGGCGAGCGUUAUCCGGAAUCACUGGGCGUAAAGGGUGCGUAGGCGGCCAAAUAAGCCAGGGGUGAAAGGCUACGGCUCAACCGUAGUAAGCCUUUGGAACUGUAUGGCUUGAGUGCAGGAGAGGAGAGUGGAAUUCCUAGUGUAGCGGUGAAAUGCGUAGAUAUUAGGAGGAACACCAGUGGCGAAGGCGACUCUCUGGACUGCAACUGACGCUGAGGCACGAAAGCGUGGGGAGCGAACAGGAUUAGAUACCCCCGUAGUCC